rnacentral:rRNA from 1 species
UGCGSAUGUUUCCAUCUCAGUCGACGGUACAGGGAGCUUGCUCCGCUGACGAGUGGCGAACGGGUGAGUAAUGCGUCGGAACGUGCCGAGUAGUGGGGGAUAACGCAUCGAAAGGUGUGCUAAUACCGCAUACGUACUGAGGUAGAAAGUGGGGGACCUUCGGGCCUCACGCUAUUCGAGCGGCCGACGUCUGAUUAGCUAGUUGGUGAGGUAAAGGCUCACCAAGGCGACGAUCAGUAGCGGGUCUGAGAGGAUGAUCCGCCACACUGGGACUGAGACACGGCCCAGACUCCUACGGGAGGCAGCAGUGGGGAAUUUUGGACAAUGGGCGCAAGCCUGAUCCAGCCAUGCCGCGUGUCUGAAGAAGGCCUUCGGGUUGUAAAGGACUUUUGUCCGGGAGCAAAUGCUGGUGGCUAACAUCCACCGGAGCUGANAAGUACCGGAAGAAUAACACCGGCUAACUACGUGCCACAGCCCCGGUAAUACGUAGGNGCAAGCGUUAAUCGGAAUUACUGGGCGUAAACGUGCGCAGGCGGUUUGUAAACCAAAUGUGAAACCCCGGCUCAACUGGGAAUGCGUUUGGA